CCUACGGGAGGCAGCAGUGAGGAAUAUUGGUCAAUGGGCGGAAGCCUGAACCAGCCAAGUAGCGUGCAGGAUGACGGCCCUACGGGUUGUAAACUGCUUUUAUACGGGAAUAACGCGCCUUACGUGUAGGGCUUUGCAUGUACCGUAUGAAUAAGGACCGGCUAAUUCCGUGCCAGCAGCCGCGGUAAUACGGAAGGUCCGGGCGUUAUCCGGAGUUAUUGGGGUUAAAGGGAGCGGAGGCGGCAUGUCAAGCGUGCUGUGAUAUGUACGGGCUCAACCCGGGCCUUGCAGCGCGUACUGGCGUGCUGGAGUCCGCGGAAGGCAGGCGGAAGUCGUGGUGGAGCGGUGAAAUGCUUAGAUAUGUGGAAGAACCCCGAUUGCGAAGGCAGCUUGCUGCAGCGGAACUGACGCUGAUGCUCGAAAGCGCGGGUAUCGAACAGGAUUAGAUACCCUGGUAGUC
rnacentral:rRNA from 1 species